rnacentral:rRNA from 1 species
UGGGGAAUCUUGCACAAUGGGGGAAACCCUGAUGCAGCGACGCCGCGUGAACGAUGAAGCCCUUCGGGGUGUAAAGUUCUUUCGGCAGGAACGAUAAUGACGGUACCUGAAGAAGAAGCUGCGGCUAACUACGUGCCAGCAGCCGCGGUAAUACGUAGGCAGCAAACGUUGUUCGGAGUUACUGGGCGUAAAGAGUACGUAGGCGGUUUGCCAAGUUUGGUGUGAAAUCUCCUGGCUUAACUGGGAGGGUGCGCCGAAUACUGGCAGACUUGAGUAUUGGAGAGGAAAGCGGAAUUCCUGGUGUAGCGGUGAAAUGCGUAGAUAUCAGGAGGAACACCGGUGGUGUAGACGGCUUUCUGGACAAUCACUGACGCUGAGGUACGAAAGCGUGGGUAGCAAACAGGAUUAGAUACCCGAGUAGUCCCUGAGCGGGCUGGCAAGGCGCAU